GACGAACCGAGCGAACGUUAUUCGGAAUCACUGGGCUUAAAGGGCGCGUAGGCGGGCCGUCAAGUCAGGGGUGAAAGCCCCCCAGCUCAACUGGGGAAGUGCCUCUGAUACUGGCGGCCUCGAGGGAGGUAGGGGCGUGCGGAACUUCCGGUGGAGCGGUGAAAUGUGUAGAGAUCGGGAGGAGCACCGGUGGCGAAGGCGGGGUCUCUGGGGCAAUUCCUGACGCUGAGGCGCGAAAGCGUGGGGAGCAAACGGG
rnacentral:rRNA from 1 species